UACGUAGGGGGCGAGCGUUGUCCGGAUUCAUUGGGCGUAAAGAGCUCGUAGGCGGCUUGUCAAGUCGGGUGUGAAACCUCCAGGCUCAACCUGGAGACGCCACUCGAGACUGUCAUGGCUAGAGUCCGGUAGGGGAUCACGGAAUUCCUGGUGUAGCGGUGAAAUGCGCAGAUAUCAGGAGGAACACCGGUGGCGAAGGCGGGUCUCUGGGCCGAUACUGACGCUGAGGAGCGAAAGCGUGGGGAGCAAACAGG
rnacentral:rRNA from 1 species